AUUGAACGCUGGCGGCAGGCUUAACACAUGCAAGUCGAACGGUGAACGAGGGAGCUUGCUCCCUCCGGAUCAGUGGCGAACGGGUGAGUAACACGUGAGCAAUCUGCCCUGGACUCUGGGAUAAGCGUUGGAAACGACGUCUAAUACCGGAUACGAGGCGUGGGGGCAUCCCCAACGCCUGGAAAGAACUUCGGUCCAGGAUGAGCUCGCGGCCUCAUCGGGUAGUUGGGGAGGUAAUGGCUCACCCAGCCUACGACGGGUAGCCGGCCUGAGAGGGUAACCGGCCACACGUGGCCUGAGACACGGGCCAGAGUCAUACGGGAGGUAGCAGUGGGGAAUGUUGCACAAUGGGCGCAAGCCUGAUGCAGCAACGCCGCGUGAGGGACGACGGCCUUCGGGUUGUAAACCUCUUUUAGCAGGGAAGAAGCGAAAGUGACGGUACCUGCAGAACAAGCACCGGCUAACUACGUGCCAGCAGCCGCGGUAAAAC
rnacentral:rRNA from 1 species